AGAGGAGAUCGGGAGGAAGGAGGACUAAUCACAGAGGAUUUAACAGGCACUUUCUGGAUUUGGACUCAAGAGCGACCAGAAUGGGGAACAGACAUCUAAUAACCAUGAUUGUGAUACUAAUUGCAACCGCUGGAGGUGUGUCAUCUCAGUCAACUACAGACUCAACAGCAACUUCAGACUCAACAGCAACUUCAGAAUCAACCCCAACUUCAGACUCAACAGCAACUUCAGACUCAACCCCAACUUCAGACCCAACAGGAACUUCAGACUCAACAGCAACUUCAGACUCAACCCCAACUUCAGACUCAACAGCAACUUCAGACUCAACCCCAAAUUCAGACUCAACAGCAACUUCAGACUCAACCCCAACUUCAGACUCAACAGCAACUUCAGACUCAACAGCAACUUCAGACUCAGCAGCAACUUCAGACUCAACAGCGACUUCAGACUCAACAGCAACUUCAGACUCAACAGCAACUUCAGACUCAACAGCAACUUCAGACUCAACAGCAACUUCAGACUCAACAGCAACUUCAGGAACAACACCAACUCAAGGAUCAACAUCAACUCCAGAUUCAACAGCAACUUCAGACUCAACGGCAACCUCAGGAGCAACACCAACUCCAGAUUCAACAUCAAUUCAAGUGUUAACACCAACUCCAGAUUCAACAGCAACUCAAGGAUCAACAGCAACUGCAGCAUUAACAGCAACUCCAGUAUCAAUGGCAACUCCAGGAUUAACAUCAACCCCUGGUUUUACAGCAACCCCAGACACAACAGUUGUUGUUCCAACUACAAUAUCAACUACUCUCCUGAACACAACUGAAGCUCCUCCGCCAAGUGUGGUUCUUGCAUUUGUCAUUGUGACAGUGUUCGUACCCGAGCUGAAUGAUCGCAACAGUCCAGCAUUUAGACAACUUGAAGCAAUAGUUGUGGGGGUGUGUCGAGCUGCCUACGCAAGGAUUCCGUUUUUCGCAGGUUGCUUUGUCCGAGCAUUCAGACGAGCUGGAGCCCGUACACGAACUGAGGCAAACACUGAAGCAGAUACGGAGGUUCAGUUCAACCGAACUGCAACGACUUCACAAAUCCCAUCAGCUGAAAGUAUUGCGGAGUCUUUUGUGGCAGCUGCAUCCAAUCCCAACAACACUGGCAACUUUACUUUUGAUACUGACACUGUGAGAGUCACUGAGACAAAUAUAAGAAAUACGACCACAGCAGCUCCCAGCGCAACGACCAUCGCACCCAAUGCAACAACCAUCGCUGCUAAUGCAACGACCAUGGCUCCCGACGCAACAACCAUCGCUCCCAAUGCAACAACCAUCGCUGCGAAUGCAACGACCAUUGCUCCCAACUCAAUGACCAUGGCUCCCAAUGCAACGACCAUCGCACCCAAUGCAACAACCAUCACUGCUAAUGCAACGACCAUGGCUCCCGACGCAACAACCAUCGCUCCCAAUGCAACAACCAUUGCUGCAAAUGCAACAACCAUUGCUCCCAACCCAACGACCAUGGCUCCCAAUGCAACGACUGCAGCUCCCAUUGCUACAACCAUCACUGUCACUACAACAACUGCUUUAACAACUGAAACUCCGCCACCAACCGUGGUUCUUACAUUUGUCAUCGUACAAUUGUUCUCACCUGAGCUGGAUGAUCGCGGCAGUCCAGCAUUUAGACAACUUGAAACAAUCAUUUUGGCGGUGUGUCGAGCUGCCUAUGCAGGGAUUCCGUUUUUCAGAGGAUGCUUUGUCCGAGGGUUCAGAGAAGCUGUAGUAGCUCCAGCUGCAGCCCGCAAACGAAGCACAGGAAACAUUGAAGCAGACACGGAGGUUCAGUUCAACUCAAAUGCAACGUCUUCAGAAAUUCCAUCGUCUGACAUUAUUAGAGAAUCUUUUGUGGCAGCUGCAUCCAAUCCCAACAACACUGGCAACGUUACUUUUAAUACUGACUCUGUGAGAGUCACUGAGACAAACAUUGCAAAUACGACCACUGCAGCUCCCAAUGUGACAACUGCAGCUCCUGUUGCAACAACUGCAGCUCCUGUUGCAACAACUGCAGCUCCUGUUGCAACAACAACAACAACUCCCAGUCCAACAACUGCAGUGGCAUUGGCAUCAACGGGUUUGGUUUUCACAUCUCCAGGAGAGACAUUUACAAGUGACUUGUUAAAUUCAUCAUCUACAGCAUUUACAACUCGGGCCACAUUGAUAACAACCACUAUUGACCCUUUCUACCAACAAGAAUUUAAUUCAUUCCGGGGCUCAGAGGUGGUGUCAUUCAGCAAUGGAUCCAUCAUCAACAACCUGACACUUGCAUUUCUAUCAUCAUCUGUUCCGAACGCCACUCAGAUUGCAAGUGUUUUGGCUGCUGCAGCUCAAAACAUCACGGCCUUCAACAUUGAUGUCACCUCUAUUUUUGUGAACGGUACAGCCACUGAUGGGUCAAGUAGCGUUAGCCACAGCACCAGCCUGGUCACUGCGUCCAGCUUGGUGCUGCUGUCGUGGCUGCUGUCGUGUCAGCACUAGCACCUCUGCUGACAUCCAACAUGAAACCAGACAAGAGAAUGUCUACUGGCACUGGGAUGAAAAAGGACUUCACAUUCAAAAUGCAAGAUUGCAAUGAACUACAACUGUAAUGAAGUUCAUAAAAAUUAUCUUGAGGGGGAUUAGACUUGAUCAAUCAAUACUUUGCUGUUCUGACAUUCAGUAAAUUCAGACUUUAACUUAGCUGCACUAUAGAAGUAUCAAGCAUAUUUGUUGUUGAAAAACAAGGAUAUUCAUGAUCAAAGCAAUACAAGUCUUUUGAAACUUGAUUUUAUAUGAAGGGAAAUUUUAACAGAGCUCUAAAGUUGUAUUGUUGUCUUUCAAAUAAUUCAUCUAAACUUCAGCGGAGUAACCUUUCCAGUCACAAUUCAGCACAAAUCCUACUAUAUUCUCAGUGAAUGUCGAGGCAUCCAGCAAAUGUAUAACCCAAAGUCCUGUAUGAAUAUCCAGUCUGUUUGAGUAUUUAAAUAUAUUUACAGAGUAUUUUUCUUUCACUUUUACUUUUGUGUGUGUGUGUGCAUGUGUGUGUAGCUAUACUCAGGGAUGCUCUACAGUACGUAAUAAUGAUUUAAAAUAUGGUUUUUACUGUAUCACAAUAGCAAUGACAAAUGAUUGCAAUGUAAAACAGGUAGAGAAAACUGUAUCUUAAUUUACUGAAGAUGCUUCUAUUAAAAGUAUUGGAAACAUAUCUAGACUAUGAGCUGGUCUUCAUUCUUCUUAUUUAACCUUGCUUUUCUAAUGGUUUAAUUUCAGAGAUUCAUUAAAACCAUUUUUUUUUGAAAGAACACAAUUAAACAUUUGGGAAAAAAAAUCAAUAAUCUCAUAUCAAAUGUCAUCUGAAUCAAGGAUGUCAAAUCUCAGCAAUGUGUCAACUGAGCCUCUCACUGCCAGUGGCCACAGAUUUUCAAUGUCAUGAAGAGUGAUCACAGUAAAGAAACAUUAGUCUGAGCUGUAUCUCAUUAAAAUGACAUAGUUUUCUCAUUACAACGAGAGUUUAAUACACACGUGGACAAAAUUGUUGGUAUCCUUCGUUUAAUAAAAGAAAAAAAGCAAAAAAACAGCAUAGGAAAGCGUUAUCUCAAAAUUAUAGACAAGCAUGUUAAAGGUAAAGACUAUAAGACUAUCUCCAAGCAGUUUGUUGUUCCUGUGACUACAGCUGCACAUAUUAUUCAGAAAUUCAAGAUUCCGCAGGAGGAAAAUUGAUGACAAAUAAAAGAGAUGGAUAAUACGAAUGGUAACAAAAGAGCCCAGAAAAACUUCUAAAGAGAUUAAAGGUGAACUUCAAGCUCAAGGAACAUCAGUGUCAGAUCGCACCAUCCGUCGUCAUUUGAACCAAAAUGGACUUCAUGGGAGAUGAUCAAGGAGGACACCAUUGCUAAAAGCAAAUCACAAAAAAAAACAGACUGGAAUUUGCCAAACUACAUGUUGACAAGCCACAAAGCUUCUAGGAGAAUGUCCUAUGGACAGAUGAGACAAAAAUGGACGUUUUUGCCAAGGCACAUCAGCUCUAUAUUCACAGAAGUAAAAAUGAAGCAUAUCAAGGAAAGAAUUACUGUCCCUGCUGUGAAACAUGGAGGAGGCUCUGUUAUGUUCUGGGGCUGCUUUGCUGCAUCUGGCACAGAGUGUUUUUAAUCUGUGCAGGGCACAAUUAAAUCUCAAGACUAUCAAGGGAUUCUAGAGAGAAAUAUGCUGGCCAGUGUCAGAAAGCUUGGUCUCAGUCGCAGGUCAUGGGUCUUGCAACAUGACACUGACCCAAAACGCACAGCUAAAAACAUCCAAGAAUGGCUAAGAGGAAAACAUUGCACUAUUCUCCACAUGAACCCUAACCUAAAUCCUAUCCAACAUCUUUGGAAGGAGCUGAAACAUGCCGUCUGGAAAAGGCAACUACAGCAGUUUGCUCAUGAUGGGCCAAAAUACCUCCCGAAAGGUGCAGAUGUCUCAUUGACAGUUACAGGAAUCGUUUGAUUGCAGUGAUUGUCUCAAAAGGUUGUGCAACUAAAUAUUAAGUUAAGGGUACCAUUAUUUCUGUCCAGGCCUGUUUCAUGAGUUUUUUUUUUUUUUUUAAUAAUUCUGUUGAAGCAUGGUUGAAAAGCAAUGCCUGAUUCUUUCAUUGGUUAAAUUUCAUAGAAUUUUUAUUUAUUACUACUUUUGUCAGAUUCAAGUUCUUUCUCUGAUUACUGUGAAUUUUUCUUUCAUUAAACGAAGAGUACCAACAGUUUUGGCCACAUGUGUACCAAAAAAAACUGUGUUCUCGCCAACCCGGCGGUAUUGUGUCUGUCUCCUUCAAGCUCGGGUCCUCUACCAGAGGCCUGGGAGCUUGAGG
ensembl:lncRNA